UCAAAGAUAGGAGCUUGACAUUCUUCCUUAGGGUUAACUUCAGUAUUAACCCUAAUAAUACCCAGAGACUUCAACGCAUGAGAGUGUUGUUCCUGCAAUAAACGUUCUUUGGCUUCCCCCAACGUUUCUUUUCGCACUGAGAAUAAUUCCUGCUGUAAACGUUGUUUAGCUUCCCCCAACGUUUCUUUUGGCCUAGAGGAAUGUUGCCCAAAUUGGCUAUGAU
rnacentral:lncRNA from 1 species